rnacentral:misc_RNA from 1 species
UUUCCGUAGGUGAACCUGCGGAAGGAUCAUUACGGAGUUCAUGCCCUCACGGGUAGAUCUCCCACCCUUGAAUAUUUAUACCUUAGUUGCUUUGGCAGGCCGUGGAAACACCAUGGGCUCCGGCUUAUGCGUGCCUGCCAGAGGAAACAAACUCUGUUUUUAAUGAUGUCUGAGUACUAUAUAAUAGUUAAAACUUUCAACAACGGAUCUCUUGGUUCUG